rnacentral:tRNA from 1 species
GGGGUAAGAAGGUCUAAUUUUGAUUUCUAAUCAAAAAUUAAAGCGAUUAAAUUUCGCUUUUACUCCU